CCUUAUAUAUCCAACCAAGUCAAGUCUCAUACUGGGUAAAGGGCCCAUUGUCGUAAUACAUGAAGUCUUACUUAAGAGUGCUUCGGGCAUCUGGCUGUACAACGAAGAAUGAAUAUUGCAAUAAAAAAAUCUUAAUUCUAAUAGAAUACUAACAUUACUCUAAUUUGACGAUAAUAAUGCUAAGCAAGCUUAAUCAAAUUCAAAAAAACCUCAAAGAAAUUUCAAACAAAUAAUAAGAAUUCUUAAAGAAAUAUCAGAAGGAUCAUAAAUAUCACUCAAAUACAUCUCAAUUCAAUCUUAAUUUAAUUCUAGUUAAAAUCAUAUUGAACUUCAUUCAAACUUUAGGCCCAAAGUAAUUAAAUCUUAAAUCUUAAGAAAAUCUUAGAUCUUAAAUCAAACCGUAAACAAAUCUUAAACCAAACUCCAACCAAAUCCUAAACAAAAUCCUAACCAAACCCUAAACCAAACCCUAAAUCCUAAAUAAAAUCCUAACCAAAUCCUAAAUCCUAACCAAACUCUAAAUCCUAAUUCUAAAUCCUAAAUCAAAUCCUAAACCAAAU
rnacentral:lncRNA from 1 species